CCCCUCAAUUUGAUACUAUAUAAUUGCAUUCACUUUCUAACCUUUUAUCCUAAUUCCAUACUUUGUAUCUACUUCAAUUUUUGUUCUAUGAUGAACUUGGUGGGUGAUUUAUAUUUUAUUUAUUAUAACUCUGGUAUCAGAAUUAGCUCUUCACUAAUAACAAGAAGAAAUGACCUAGUAUUUUUUUCCGCUUGUGGGAUUUGAACCUGAGAUCCAUGAUUCUGACCAUAUUCAUUUUUCUGAAUGUUUCCGUCUUCAAGUACCAAAAGGUUGAAACUUGAAGACAUUAUUGCUAUGCUGAUGCGGUUAGAAGUAUGAGGCCCAAACCAUCAAAUUUUUAGGUUACUUCUGGACAUUUACUCAUUGAUUUUUCUUCUCCAUGAAACUUCAUAACAAACUGUAAACUGUUAUGAUCUUAGCACGAAUUCAGUUUCAUGCAGAAGACUGGGAUUGAUGGAGUGAUUCUCUUUAACAAUGAGCUAGGAGUAACACAAGUAAUUGAAAUAUUAAGACAACAAAAGGAAUAUGAUCUUUGCAAUAUCCUCAUUUAUAGCUUUGAAGCUCCCGUUGCAUAAGAAAGAGAAAAGAAGGUGAGGGAAUUGAAGGAAGAAGGACAAUAAAAGGAAGGAGAGAAGAGAGAAAGAAAGAGGAGAAGAUAUCAUCAUAUCAGAUGUUUAUUGUUGCUCUGUAGCCCCACCCAGAGAAAUGACCUUGACCUAAAAGUCAUAGCUGUGCCACAAAUUAUGUAUAUUGAUUGUGUAUAAGCAUCUGCAAAAGCCAAGAGAAAUUGCGAAGUUCAUAUUUCAAAAUAACUUGUAUUUUCUCGAUAGUUGGCUUAUAGCAGAGACCUUGUAGACUGAAAUCCUCUUGUUUUUUCAUGCCUUUUAGAAGUACCUUCUUACCCUUAUCUUCUACCUGCAUCUUUCAGUGUAAAGAUUUAAAGGUCCUUCGAUUAUGAACCCUUUUCUUGUCCACCCCUAGCACCAUACGACACAGAUCAUUCUUACAUGAUUUUCAAACUCCUUUUAAAUCUGUCAACCGCAAUGGUGUCCCAUGGGAGAGUUAUCAACAGAUAUAGUUCCAUCAACUAUGAAUACUCUUAGGGGUCGUUUGGUUGGUGGGAUGAGAUAGACAAGGAUAUCCAUGGAUUAGCUAUCCCACCUUCUAUAUGGGAUAGCUAAUCCCAUCACUUUAGUGCAAAAUGGUUCCCGGGAUUAGUUAAUACCCAUAAGGCCAUAACAAAAAGCGAGAUAAAACAAUCCUGCAUUUUAUAUCAGAAAUGUUAUCCUUUAUCCCACCAACCAAACUACAUGGUAUAACUUCUUAAAUAUCUCACUCAACUUCCAUGGUUGUUCGAUAGUCUAAAAAGCUAUUUGUAUUCUCGUGUCCAUCUGUAUAGUCAGAGGUUUCUUCUUGACCAAUCUAUUUGUGUUAGGUAUUGCAGUACUAACCCAACAUUAAGGCUAGUGACCUCAUUCUUCAUUUCUUUAAUAUCAUUCCUUCUUGCACAGAGUCUCUCUUUUCUUUUAUUUCAGCUUCAGUUCAUUAAGUUGUGUUGUCUUGCUUCAAUGACUUAAAAUAUAGGGAUUUUUACAUGGGUAAGCUACUUUCAAGGCUUAAUUACUAUUCUUUAUGGUAGUUUUAUUUAAUAACAAAAUAUAACCACACUUUACCAAUUAUAGCAAAUGUAAGAGAUUAGGCUCCAAUCUUCCCCAUUAUAGGCUCUAAUCUUUCUUAUUUUCUCUCUUUCUCAGCAAGCACACUCAAGCCGAGAAAAGCUCCAUUAAAAAGCUCUGACUUCGAAGUGUUUUGCGAAAUUGUUAUUUAUUUUUAUUAGUGUUGUUAAAAAUGGCUGGGAGUAUCACUUGGAGUUUAUAUGUCAAUUUUGGGGGAGUUUGGUGUAGAUUUGUGCUGAUUUUGUUAGAAUUUAAGAUUAAACCCGAAGAGAAAGAAGAACAAUCUUGUUCUUUUCAGAUCCUGAUGUAUGAAUAAGUUAUGUAUUUUGUAUUCCAGGUGUAUGUCAUUUGUAUUUCCAAUGUGUCACUGGACAGAAAGUGACAUACACACGAUAUACAAAAUACAUGCAACAACAUAAUUGUAUGCAAGGUUUAUGUUUGACUGGAUCCUAUACAAUAGAAAGUUGUAUGCAAGUUGUCUAGAAAGUUGUAUGCAAGUAGUCUGUAAGUUGUAUGUUUUGACCGGAUUGUCUCUCACUACUUUUUUGAAAAACAAAUUAUAUUGCUAAACCGGGUAAUCAUUUACUCCCUCUGUUUCAAUUUGUUUGUCUUACUUUCCUUUGUAGUCCGUUUAAAAAAGAAUAUCUCUUUUCUUUUUUGGCAACUCUUUAAUUUCAACUUUCCACGUGACAUGUUUAAGACAGAUUAAAAGGCAUUUUGGUACAUUUCAUGUAUCUUUAGUUUAAGACACAAGAUUCAAAAGUCUUCUGUAUGUUCUUAAAAUCCAUGUCAAGUCAAAAUCAAACAAACAAAUUGAAACAAAAGGAGAAAAUAAUUUUGCAGACACAGGUAAGAACCUAGAAGAUAUCUGUCCUCACACUUGUAAUAGGCCCUGUGAGCCCUUCUCAAGUCCCUCCUCCGAAGCCCAAAUGCUGGAGUUUUGAUCAAUAUUCUGGUAACCUUUUCAGUUGCUUUUCACCUCCCAAUGAAGGCAAUGUCAUGGGAAAUUCGUAUCACCUUUCUGCUUUCUAGUGACUGAGAAUAUAUAAUUUUUUAAACAAUAUUAAUAUUUAUUGUAUUUAUCCUAUACAUCAUUUGAUAUGCAUUUCCAUUUAAAGUUUUGAGUAAGGAGUACGUUCGUGUGUGUAAAACUGGGAGCCUUGGAGUAACUGGUAAAGUUGCUGCCAUGUGACCAGGAGGUCACGGGUUCAAGCCUUGGAAACAGCCUCUGGCAGAAAUGCAAGGUAAGGCUGCGUACAAUAGACCCUUGUGGUCGGGCCCUUCCCCGGACCCUGCUCAUAGCAGGAGCUUUAGUGCACCGGGCUGCCCUUUUUAUUAUAAAAUAUUGAGUCACUGGUUACCUUGUUCCAGUUCAUAUGAUGUUAAGGCCUCCUAUUGUUCGUUUCCUUUCAUAAGAGAUGGCUAGAUGACGUUUUGACCAAGAAGAAAUAGAUUGAUUUGUCAAUGUCAGUUCCCCAGUAAGAUGAAUAUCAAAGUAAUUGAUAUAGAAGGGCGGAAGAGGAAAAUAAGUGGGGAAAGAGUUGCUGAACCAAAUCAGAAUCCCAAACAGGGUUUGCCGGACAAUUUUUCUGAAAGAGACACUAUCAUUGAGGUUGGUGAUGGGGAAGAGAAGCCAUCUGUGGGGAUGGAGUUUCAAACAGAAGAAGCAGCAAAGAAUUUUUUUGACGCAUAUGCUAGGCGUGUGGGCUUUAGCAUACAUGUUGGUCAGUACAGCCGAGCUAAGCCUGAUGGACCUAUCAUUAGUUGGGACUUUUCUUGUUCUAGAGAAAUUCUCAGAAGGAAGAAUAUAGAGAGUUGCAAUGCUCUGCUUCGCAUAGAGAGGAAGUGUUCAGAUGGUUGGGUUGUUACUAAAUUCGUUGAGGAUCACAAUCAUUCAAUGAAUCCCGGCAAGGUGCAUCGCCUCCGACCUCGUAAAUACUUUGCUGGUGCUUCCAAGACUGUUGGAGAGAUACCAGGAGCUCCAACUGAUAUUACGGUUCCACCAGUUGUGGUUCCGAUGGACGGGAAUCAUGUAUUUGUCAGUUCUAAUGAAGGUGUUAAGGAUGCUUUUCCUGUGGAGUCAAAUCGUAUGACCAAGAACUUUAGCCCUGUCAUACCAAUAAUGUUUGUUCAGCCUUGCAGCCGAAAGAGAACUCUUGGAAGAGAUGCCCAUAAUCUUCUUGACUAUUUCAAAAAAAUGCAAGCGGAAAAUCCUGGUUUCUACUAUGCUAUUCAACUUGAUGAUGAAAACCGCAUGACAAAUGCUUUUUGGGCUGAUGCAAGAUCAAGGAUAGCUUAUAGUCACUUUGGCGAUGCUGUUACUUUUGAUACAAUGUAUAGACCAAAUCAAUUCCAGGUUCCUUUUGCUUCAUUCACUGGAGUAAAUCAUCAUGGGCAAAUGGUUUUGUUUGGCUGUGGAUUACUCUUAGAUGAGUCCGAGUCUUCCUUUACUUGGCUUUUCCGGACCUGGCUAUCUUCAAUGAAUAACCGCCCUCCAGUUUCUAUUACAACCGACCAGGAUCGAGCUAUUAAGGCAGCAGUCAACCUAGUAUUACCGAGUACUCGUCAUUGCAUCUGUAAGUGGCAUAUCUUACGAGAAGGGCAGGAAAGAUUGGCUCAUGUAUAUAUGGCUCAUCCUUCCUUUUAUGGGGAGCUAUAUAGCUGCAUUGACUAUUCUGAGACAAUUGAGGAUUUUGAAUCAUCUUGGGCCUCUGUACUUGAUAAAUAUGAUCUGGGAAAAAAUGAGUGGCUUCAAGCUGUAUAUAAUGCUCGCGACCAGUGGGCUCCAGUAUAUUUUCGAGAUACUUUCUUUGCUGCACUUCCCUCAAACCAGGGUGUAACCUCCUUUUUUGAUGGAUAUGUGAAUCAGCAGACAACUCUACCAAUGUUCUUUAAGCAGUAUGAAAGAGCUUUAGAAAGCUCACUUGAAAGGGAAAUUGCAUCUGAUUUUGAUACAAAUUGCACCACACCAGUGCUAAGGACCCCAUCUCCAAUGGAACAGCAAGCAGCUAAUCUCUUCACCAAAAAAGUUUUUGCAAAGUUUCAAGAGGAACUAGUUGAAACUUUUGCCCAUACUGCCAAUAAGAUUGAUGGUGAUGAGACUCUAAGCAAAUUUAGGGUUGCAAAAUAUGAACAGGAUGACAAGGCUUACAUUGUUAUGUUGAAUCUUGCCCAGAUGAAAGCAAGUUGCAGCUGUCAGAUGUUUGAGUAUUCGGGCAUCUUAUGUAGGCACAUUUUAACCGUUUUCACAGUGACUAAUGUUCUCACAGUUCCAUCCCUCUAUAUACUUAAGAGGUGGACAAGGAAUGCAAAAGUUGGACAAGGAUCGAAUGAAGAAGACAUUGUUAAACAAGGAAUUAAUUCGCUCACUUCACGUUUCAACCACCUAUGUCUGGAAGCUUUAAGAUAUGCAAAAGAAGGGGCAGUUUCUGCGGAGACCUAUGAUGCAGCGGUUAGUGCUCUGAGAGACGGGCUGAGGAAGAUUUCUAUUGUUGCGAAAAAUGUUGCCAGACCUCUUAGCUCACAGGGAAGUGGAAGUAUUCAGGAUGAGAGCAUAAAAAGAACUCCAGCUACUUCUGAUACUGCACCAUCUUUAUGGCCUUGGCAAGAUACAAUGCCUCAUCAUUUUAACCUUAAUGAUGGUGGUUUAAAUGCUGGUGACUUAAAUCAGCCCACUAUGACACCUGUGGCUAUAAAUCAUGAUGGUGGCCUUGCUGAUAAUGUGGUUGUUUAUACUUGCUUUAAGUCUAUGACAUGGGUGAUUGAAAACAAGAGUCCAGCAAGUAAAGUGGCUGUCAUCAAUUUGAAGUUGCAAGAUUAUGGAAAGAACCCAGCAGGGGAAACAGAAGUUCAAUUUAGACUUACAAGAGUCACUCUGGAGCCAAUGCUGAAAUCCAUGGCUUACAUAAGUCAACAGCUUUCCCUGCCGGCAAAUAGAGUAGCUGUUAUCAAUUUAAAGCUUCAAGAUACUAAGACACCUUCCGGAGAGACUGAAGUGAAAUUUCAAGUUUCAAGGGAUACUCUAGGAUCAAUGUUGAGAUCGAUUGCUUACAUUCGUGAACAACUUUGAAACUCUUUGUUCGACAAAGAGAAAGAAAGUGCAAAAGACUGAAGUUUGGCUUCUUCGGGCAAAUAUAUGUUCGUCCUUUUAUCCUUUCCUUUUUUGGGGGCAAAGCAAAAGGAUGACAGGAACAUCUGUCACCUCAGCAACAUGAUUUACCUAUCCUUUGAUAGAAUCAGGUCUAUGGAACUCCUUGUAAAUUGCUUCUGGAGCAGAGAGAACACAUAUUCACAGCUGUAGUUAUCUCUAGCAACCAGCCAGCCACUCAGUUUGCUCUAUUUUUGGUUAGCACUUAUUCUAACUAUUUCUAUGUAGUUGACCCAACUUACCAUGUAAUUGUAUGCGGGAGAAUUAGUUGUACAUGUCUGUAAGGAGGACCCAGCAAAGAAUGUAAUCCAUCUUAGACUAGCUGUAGUUGCUGUUUCAUUGAUAGUUUACUAUCAUUUUUUCUUUAAUUUAAGGUAGGUAUAAGUGUGUAAAUCUAUUAUUUGUAUUCCUUUGUAAGCUGCCUGUAUUAAUACUACUCCACGGUCCCAGUGUGAGGAAUA